CCCGGACCACAAACUGACGAACACGUGACGUUUGGUGGCGAGGUGGGCGUGAACGAAAUGACCAAAACCUGCAACUCCGUAAAAAGGAUUCUCACAUGCAGUAUGUCUGGGGCAGGCCACAGUAGGAACCAAAAUGAGAGAGUAACCGAUUCUCCAGGUCGAUCACCGUCUCUCCAACCUUCUCAUCAUGGGUCAAUUCCUCUGACCACGUAGAUCCUGAUAAGGCACUCUUGAGGCCCACUCUCUGGAAGCUCUUUGAACUGCGGUGGAGGAGAGGGCA